CGUGGCAUAGAUAAGGUACACAGUAAUGUAGCCAAUCUCCAUGAAGAAUGUGAAGGAGUUGAUGGUGAUGAGAAGCGUGGAAUCGUCAUCAAAAAUUGCAUAGAACAACCACAGCAUAGCACUAAACAGUGCAAUCACAUAUGGAAUGGACUGGAAUCCUUCACUUGUUUUCUUCUUGAAAAUUUGGUAAAAAGUUGGAAGAGGAGCAAGGCAAACC
rnacentral:misc_RNA from 1 species